rnacentral:rRNA from 1 species
AUUGAACGCUGGCGGCAGGCCUAACACAUGCAAGUCGAGCGGUAGAGAGAAGCUUGCUUCUCUUGAGAGCGGCGGACGGGUGAGUAAUGCCUAGGAAUCUGCCUGGUAGUGGGGGAUAACGUUCGGAAACGGACGCUAAUACCGCAUACGUCCUACGGGAGAAAGCAGGGGACCUUCGGGCCUUGCGCUAUCAGAUGAGCCUAGGUCGGAUUAGCUAGUUGGUGGGGUAAUGGCUCACCAAGGCGACGAUCCGUAACUGGUCUGAGAGGAUGAUCAGUCACACUGGAACUGAGACACGGUCCAGACUCCUACGGGAGGCAGCAGUGGGGAAUAUUGGACAAUGGGCGAAAGCCUGAUCCAGCCAUGCCGCGUGUGUGAAGAAGGUCUUCGGAUUGUAAAGCACUUUAAGUUGGGAGGAAGGGUUGUAGAUUAAUACUCUGCAAUUUUGACGUUACCGACAGAAUAAGCACCGGCUAACUCUGUGCCAGCAGCCGCGGUAAUACAGAGGGUGCAAGCGUUAAUCGGAAUUACUGGGCGUAAAGCGCGCGUAGGUGGUUUGUUAAGUUGGAUGUGAAAUCCCCGGGCUCAACCUGGGAACUGCAUUCAAAACUGACUGACUAGAGUAUGGUAGAGGGUGGUGGAAUUUCCUGUGUAGCGGUGAAAUGCGUAGAUAUAGGAAGGAACACCAGUGGCGAAGGCGACCACCUGGACUAAUACUGACACUGAGGUGCGAAAGCGUGGGGAGCAAACAGGAUUAGAUACCCUGGUAGUCCACGCCGUAAACGAUGUCAACUAGCCGUUGGAAGCCUUGAGCUUUUAGUGGCGCAGCUAACGCAUUAAGUUGACCGCCUGGGGAGUACGGCCGCAAGGUUAAAACUCAAAUGAAUUGACGGGGGCCCGCACAAGCGGUGGAGCAUGUGGUUUAAUUCGAAGCAACGCGAAGAACCUUACCAGGCCUUGACAUCCAAUGAACUUUCCAGAGAUGGAUUGGUGCCUUCGGGAACAUUGAGACAGGUGCUGCAUGGCUGUCGUCAGCCCGUGUCGUGAGAUGUUGGGUUAAGUCCCGUAACGAGCGCAACCCUUGUCCUUAGUUACCAGCACGUAAUGGUGGGCACUCUAAGGAGACUGCCGGUGACAAACCGGAGGAAGGUGGGGAUGACGUCAAGUCAUCAUGGCCCUUACGGCCUGGGCUACACACGUGCUACAAUGGUCGGUACAGAGGGUUGCCAAGCCGCGAGGUGGAGCUAAUCCCAUAAAACCGAUCGUAGUCCGGAUCGCAGUCUGCAACUCGACUGCGUGAAGUCGGAAUCGCUAGUAAUCGCGAAUCAGAAUGUCGCGGUGAAUACGUUCCCGGGCCUUGUACACACCGCCCGUCACACCAUGGGAGUGGGUUGCACCAGAAGUAGCUAGUCUAACCUUCGGGAGGACGGUUACCACGGUGUGAUUCAUGACUGGGGUGA